CGUAUCGGCGACCGGCGCACGGGUGAGUAACACGUAUCCAACCUGCCUCAUACUCGGGGAUAGCCUUUCGAAAGAAAGAUUAAUACCCGAUGUUAUAGUCCUACCGCAUGAUGGGAUUAUUAAAGAAUUUCGGUAUGGGAUGGGGAUGCGUUCCAUUAGUUAGUUGGCGGGGUAACGGCCCACCAAGACAACGAUGGAUAGGGGUUCUGAGAGGAAGGUCCCCCACAUUGGAACUGAGACACGGUCCAAACUCCUACGGAAGGCAGCAG
rnacentral:rRNA from 1 species